GCUGGCGGCAGGCCUAACACAUGCAAGUCGAGCGGUAACAUUUCUAGCUUGCUAGAAGAUGACGAGCGGCGGACGGGUGAGUAACGCGUAGAAAUCUACCUAGUAGUGGGGGAUAGCCCAGAGAAAUUUGGAUUAAUACCGCAUACGCCCUACGGGGGAAAGCGGGGGAUCUUCGGACCUCGUGCUAUUAGAUGAGUCUGCGUCGGAUUAGCUUGUUGGUGAGGUAAUGGCUCACCAAGGCGACGAUCCGUAGCUGGUCUGAGAGGAUGACCAGCCACACUGGAACUGAGACACGGUCCAGACUCCUACGGGAGGCAGCAGUGGGGAAUAUUGCACAAUGGGCGCAAGCCUGAUGCAGCCAUGCCGCGUGUGUGAAGAAGGCCUUAGGGUUGUAAAGCACUUUCAGCAGUGGGAAAGGGGUGUCGUUAAUAGCGCCAUCCUGUGACGUUAACUGCAGAAGAAGGACCGGCUAACUCCGUG
rnacentral:rRNA from 1 species